rnacentral:lncRNA from 11 species
UUGAGAGGCAUGCCAACAUGGCUUCUCCUCUCAGAGGGGCUACAGCUACAUCCGAAGACAUCAGAAACAGACGAAAAAAGAUUUCAUCGUAGCCACUUCAUUUUACGAAGACAAGAGAUCAUCUGAAAUGGACUGAAGAAUGUGAAAGAGUGAGUUUACUGGAGACAAUGUAAGGAGUUU